UGCCAGCCGCCGCGGUAAUACGAAGGGUGCUAGCGUUGUCCGGAAUCACUGGGCGUAAAGGGUCCGUAGGCGGUUUGUUAAGUUUCCUGUGAAAGUUCAGGGCUCAACCCUGAAAUGUCGGGGAAUACUGGCAAACUUGAGACUGUCAGAGGCAAGUGGAAUUCCGAGUGUAGGGGUGAAAUCCGUAGAUAUUCGGAGGAACACCAGUGGCGAAGGCGGCUUUCUGGACCGAUACUGACGCUGAGACGCGAAAGCGUGGGGAGCAAACAGGAUUAGAUA
rnacentral:rRNA from 1 species